rnacentral:rRNA from 1 species
GGGACACGUGGUAUCCUGUCUGAAUAUGGGGGGACCAUCCUCCAAGGCUAAAUACUCCUGACUGACCGAUAGUGAACCAGUACCGUGAGGGAAAGGCGAAAAGAACCCCGGCGAGGGGAGUGAAAAAGAACCUGAAACCGUGUACGUACAAGCAGUGGGAGCACCUUCGGGUGUGACUGCGUACCUUUUGUAUAAUGGGUCAGCGACUUAUAUUCUGUAGCAAGGUUAACCGUAUAGGGGAGCCGCAGGGAAACCGAGUCUUAACUGGGCGUUAAGUUGCAGGGUAUAGACCCGAAACCCGGUGAUCUAGCCAUGGGCAGGUUGAAGGUUGGGUAACACUAACUGGAGGACCGAACCGACUAAUGUUGAAAAAUUAGCGGAUGACUUGUGGCUGGGGGUGAAAGGCCAAUCAAACCGGGAGAUAGCUGGUUCUCCCCGAAAGCUAUUUAGGUAGCGCCUCGUGAACUCAUCUUCGGGGGUAGAGCACUGUUUCGGCUAGGGGGUCAUCCCGACUUACCAACCCGAUGCAAACUACGAAUACCGAAGAAUGUUAUCACGGGAGACACACGGCGGGUGCUAACGUCCGUCGUGAAGAGGGAAACAACCCAGACCGCCAGCUAAGGUCCCAAAGUCAUGGUUAAGUGGGAAACGAUGUGGGAAGGCACAGACAGCCAGGAUGUUGGCUUAGAAGCAGCCAUCAUUUAAAGAAAGCGUAAUAGCUCACUGGUCGAGUCGGCCUGCGCGGAAGAUGUAACGGGGCUAAACCAUGCACCGAAGCUGCGGCAGCGACACUAUGUGUUGUUGGGUAGGGGAGCGUUCUGUAAGCCUGCGAAGGUGUGCUGUGAGGCAUGCUGGAGGUAUCAGAAGUGCGAAUGCUGACAUAAGUAACGAUAAAGCGGGUGAAAAGCCCGCUCGCCGGAAGACCAAGGGUUCCUGUCCAACGUUAAUCGGGGCAGGGUGAGUCGACCCCUAAGGCGAGGCCGAAAGGCGUAGUCGAUGGGAAACAGGUUAAUAUUCCUGUACUUGGUGUUACUGCGAAGGGGGGACGGAGAAGGCUAUGUUAGCCGGGCGACGGUUGUCCCGGUUUAAGCAUGUAGGCUGGU